rnacentral:rRNA from 1 species
UACGGAGGGUGCAAGCGUUAAUCGGAAUUACUGGGCGUAAAGCGCAUGCAGGCGGUCUGUUAAGUCAGAUGUGAAAUCCCCGGGCUUAACCUGGGAACUGCAUUUGAAACUGGCAGGCUUGAGUCUCGUAGAGGGGGGUAGAAUUCCAGGUGUAGCGGUGAAAUGCGUAGAGAUCUGGAGGAAUACCGGUGGCGAAGGCGGCCCCCUGGACGAAGACUGACGCUCAGGUGCGAAAGCGUGGGGAGCAAACAGG